rnacentral:rRNA from 1 species
AGAGAGAGACAUGCGCGCAUAUCAAUAAGCGGAGGAAAAGAAACUAACUAGGAUUCCCUCAGUAACGGCGAGUGAAGCGGGAAGAGCUCAAAUUUGAAAUCUUCAAGGUUCUACCUCGACGAAUUGUAGUUUAAAGAAGUGUUUUCUGUUGGAGUUUUGGUAAAAGUUCUUUGGAAUAGGACAUCAUAGAGGGUGAGAAUCCCGUAUUUGACUAUUCUUUCUAGCUUUGUGAUACACUCUCAAAGAGUCGGAUUGUUUGGGAAUGCAGUCCAAAAUGGGUGGUAAAUUUCAUCUAAAGCUAAAUAUUGGCGAGAGACCGAUAGCGAACAAGUACCGUGAGGGAAAGAUGAAAAGAACUUUGAAAAGAGAGUUAAACAGUACGUGAAAUUGUCAAAAGGGAAGCGUUUGACACCAGUGUUGUUUUCUCGAAAAUCAAUUAAAAAUGGCGGGAUUUUGUGUUGUAUUGACUUUAUCAGCUUUCUGCUCUUUUUUCCUGUCUUUUUUAAUGCACUUUUCGUUUAACAAGUCAACAUCAAUUUCUUUUGUUGUAAAAGGGUCAUUGGAAGGUGGCUUUCUUUUCGGAGAAAGUGUUUAUAGCCUUUGACUUCUGCAAUCGGAGAGAUUGAGGUCUGCAGCGUAGAUCCUUCGGGGUUAGAUGCAUUUGUGCUAAGUUAUAGCCUUUCAUAGACAACUUGUUGACUAUGAUCAGUCAUGUAGCUUACUCGCUUAUGUCAUUUUACCUACGCUUAGGAUGUUGACAGCAGUAUAGACUGU